AAGCUCGUAGUUGAAUUUCGGGGUUAGUAGGUUGGUCAUGCCUCUGGUAUGUACUGGUCUCACUGAUUCCUCCUUCCUUAUGAACCGUAAUGCCAUUAAUUUGGUGUUGCGGGGGAAUUUGGACUGUUACUUUGAAAAAACUUAGAGUGUUUAAAAGCAAGCUAACGCUUGAAUACAUUAGCAUGGAAUAAUGAAAUAGGACGUUCGAUCUUAUUUUAGUUUGGUUCUCUAGGAUUGACGUAAUGAUUAAUAGGGAUAGUUGGGU
rnacentral:rRNA from 1 species